GACGAACGCUGGCGGCGUGCUUAACACAUGCAAGUCGAACGGAAAGGCCCUUCUUUUGUGGGGUGCUCGAGUGGCGAACGGGUGAGUAACACGUGAGUAACCUGCCCUUGACUUUGGGAUAACUUCAGGAAACUGGGGCUAAUCCCGGAUAGGAGCUCCUGCUGCAUGGUGGGGGUUGUAAAGUUUCGGCGGUUGGGGAUGGACUCUCGGCUUAUCAGCUUGUUGGUGGGGUAGUGGCUUACCAAGGCGUUGACGGGUAGCCGGCCUGAGAGGGUGACCGGAGACAUUGGGAAUGAGAUACGGCCCAGACUCAUACGGGAGGCAGCAGUGGGGAAUAUUGCACAAUGGGCGGAAGGCUGAUGCAGCAACGCAGCGUGCGGGAUGACGGCCUUCGGGUUGUAAACCGCUUUCGCCUGUGACGAAGCGUGAGUGACGGUAAUGGGUAAAGAAGCACCGGCUAACUACGUG
rnacentral:rRNA from 1 species